rnacentral:sRNA from 1 species
AAAAAGAUGAUGAUAACUAAUAUUAUACAAGAAGAAAGAGAAGAAGCAAGAAAAAAAAAAAAAAAAAAAAAAAAAAUAACUGAAACUUGAAAUAAGUGGCGAAAGAUAUUUCAAAUUUCAUUAUACAAAAUUUUUCUUUUUCCUUUUUUUUUUUUCUUUUAGAAGAUAUAAUCUUAAUUAUAUUUUAUAAAAUAAAUUAAAAAAAAAAAUAUAAUUGUAAAAUCUUCUUAACAAGAACAAAUACAAAACGUUUGUAUUCCUAUUAUUUCAUUAAUGAAAUGAAAAUUUACAAACUUGAUAAAAUAAAAAAAAUAAAAAAAUAAAAUAAAUCUUUACGAAUGUUAGAGAUAAUUUUUAUAUAUUUUUUUAUUUUUUACCUAUUUAUCAAAACACCAAAAGGAAAAAAAAAAAGAAAAGGAAUAAAUAAAUAAAUAAAUAUAUAUAUAUAUAAUAUAAAUUAUAUAUAUAUACAUAUUUGUCAAUUGGACAAAAUUGUUUGCUCCUUUGACACAGUAUGGAUUUUUUUUUUUUGCUUUUUUUGCUUCUUCUCAUUUCUAUUAUCAUGAUUGAAGAAUGGAAAAAAUCUUUGGUAAUCUGAUUUUUAAUGA